AAAGAAGAAGAACCUAUUCGCUAACGCCGCAUUUUCGAAAUGGCAUAUCUCGAGUUCAAGUUUGAGGACGAAAUAACUAAAUACAUUCGGGAACAAGAAUUGGCAACGUCACUGAAAUUCGUAAUAUUGGGAAAGGACAAAAGUUUUGGACAAAAGGAUGCACAGCCUUUGGCACGGAAAAAACUCAGCUGGGAGAGUAAAAGUAUCCCGUUCAAUGGUGUUCCGUUUCAAGUUGUUGGCACAAAGACGUAUGAAUGCCACCAGGGCAAAGACAGACAGACAAAAGCCAAAGAGAAAUAUGCUGCUGAAAGAGACAAGAAGGAACUUGAAGACCAUGCUUUUGUAAAGAGACGGAAACUGGUACAACAUACCAAAAAGGUGGACUGCAAGGCUAUAAUAAACAUCGCCCACGUUAUCCGCUUUCCUGAUUUUAAGGUAAACAUGAAACAAGAUUGAGGAAAGUACAGUGCGCUCUAAAAAGGAGGCCUCCCAAACUCUGAAGGCAGCACUAAGUGAAACACCCAGCUCCGUGAAGGCAGAGGUUGUCUACUGCGUUAGGUUCCCCUCCCUCUCUGAGCACAGCUCACAUGCAGUUGUUGGCGAGGCAGCUCAUGUUAGGGAAGCUGUAGAUGCCAGGCUGAGAGAGAAGAUUGAGCAGCUGACUCUGUCUGGUGUGAGAAAGAUGACUGAAAUGAAGUGUCAUCUGAACACCUUUGUAGUGGAAGAGCUUUUCCUUGGAGAGCAGCCCCCUCCACCUACUCGCAGGCGCUAUUACCCCACUGACAGUGACAUAAGAAAUGUCAUGUUUAAGACCAAGCGGGCCACCGGAGACUCCAACAUUGACCGUCCAUACGAAGGUCCAUCUGGCAGAGGAAAGAAGAGGUCCUCUAGGAAGCUGUUGCGGUUACGGAGGCAAUGUGCAGGAUAUCUUAAAGAGAUCACAGAACUCACUUAUCAUCUGGAAGAGGAACAGUACGUGACUGACCUGUCUUCACAGCUCAGAAGCGUGUUGCUGGAUAUGAAGGCCCAUGUUCCACAGGAUAAAGACCUUCCACUGACCUUUUCUCCAAGGAAGAGAAAAGCUGAGAUGGACAUGGAUCUCAUUCCAACCAAGAGUGCAUCACACCCUUUCAUAGAUGGGUUAGAACAGCACACAGAGGACAUAGUGAGUGUGGAUACCUUGUUGGCAUUGAGCCUAGGGUAGUAGGGCGGUGUGGAUACCUUGUUGGCAUUGAGCCUAGGGUAGUAGGGCUGAGUGGAUACCUUGUUGGCAUUGAACCUAGGGUAGUAGGGCUGCGUGGAUACCUUGUUGGCAUUGAGCCUAGGGUAGUAGGGCUGCGUGGAUACCUUGUUGGUAUUGAGCCUAGGUUAGUCGGGCUGAGUGGAUACCUUGUUGGCAUUGAGCCUAGGGUAGUAGGGCUGCGUGGAUAUCUUGUUGGCAUUGAGCCUAGAUUAGUAGGGCUGCGUGCAUACCUUGUUGGCAUUGAGCCUAGGGUAGUAGGGCUGAGUGGAUACCUUGUUGGCAUUGAGCCUAGGGUAGUAGGGCUGAGUGGAUACCUUGUUUGCAUUGAGCCUAGGGUAGUAGGGCUGCGUGGAUACCUUGUUAGUAUUGAGCCUAGGGUAGUAGGGCUGCGUGGAUACCUUGUUGGUAUUUAGCCUAGGGUAGUAGGGCUGAGUGGAUACCUUGUUGGCAUUGAGCCUAGGGUAGUAGGGCUGCGUGGAUACCUUGUUGGCAUUGAGCCUAGGGUAGUAGGGCUGCGUGGAUACGUUGUUGGUAUUUACACUAAGUUGACUGUGCCUUUAAACAGCUUGGAAAAUUCCAGAAAAUUAUGUUAUGGUUUUAGAAGCUUCUGACUAAUUGACAUCAUUUGAGCCAAUUGGAGGUGUACCUGUGGAUUUAUUUCAAGGCCCACCUUCAAACUCAUUGCCUCUUUGCUUGACAUCAUUGGAAAAUCAAAAGAAAUCAGCCAAGAUCUCAGAUCCCACAUGUCUGGUUCAUCCUUGGGAGCAAUUUCCAAAUGCCUGAAGGUACCAAGUUCAUCUGUACAAACAAUAGUACGCAAGUAUAAACACCAUGGGACCACGCAGCCAUCAUACCAUUCAGGAAGGAGACUGUCUCCUAGAUAUGAACGUACUUUGGUGCGAAAAAUGGAAAUCAAUCCCAGAACAACAGCAAACAAACAACCUUGUGAAAAUGCUGGAGGAAACAGGUACAAAAGUAUCUAUGUCCACAGUAAAACAAGUUCAUAUCGAUAUAACCUGAAAGGUCUCCUAGAUGUGAAAUGGCCAGCUAGAUUAAAGUUAUACUGUUACAUUAACAACUUCAUAGAAACAUGUUGUUUUCUCAUCUGUGAUGGAAAACAAAUGCAUGACUAUAGUAAGUCAUUGAGGAGGCAUAUAAACACACUGUUCCACUCAUCUGCAGCUACUCUGUACUUGUAUUGUAUUAUGGUCUGUCCUGAUGCCUCGUCACUUUACCCUGCACAUUUCUCCUUGACCUGGUACUUCCUGUAUAUAGUUGCACAUUUAUCUCCUUGACCUGGUACUUCCUGUAUAUAGUUGCACAUUCUCCUUGACCUGGUACUUCCUGUAUAUAGUUGCACAUUGAUCUGGUAAUCCCUGUAUAUAGCUGCACAUUGAUCUGGUACUUCCUGUAUAUAGUCGCACAUUGACCUGGUACUGGUAAUCCCUGUAAAUAGCUGCACAUUGAUCUGGUAAUCCCUGUAUAUAGUUGCACAUUGAUCUGGUAAUCCCUGUAUAUAGUUGCACAUUGAUCUGGUACUGGUAAUCCCUGUAUAUAGCUGCACAUUGAUCUGGUAAUCCCUGUAUAUAGUUGCACAUUGAUCUGGUAAUCCCUGUAUAUAGCUGCACAUUGAUCUGGUAAUCCCUGUAUAUAGUUGCACAUUGAUCUGGUAAUCCCUGUAUAUAGUUGCACAUUGAUCUGGUAAUCCCUGUAUAUAGUUGCACAUUGAUCUGGUAAUCCCUGUAUAUAGUUGCACAUUGAUCUGGUAAUCCCUGUAUAUAGUUGCACAUUGAUCUGGUACUGGUAAUCCCUGUAUAUAGUUGCACAUUGAUCUGGUAAUCCCUGUAUAUAGUUGCACAUUGAUCUGGUAAUCCCUGUAUAUAGUUGCACAUUGAUCUGGUAAUCCCUGUAUAUAGUUGCACAUUGAUCUGGUACUGGUAAUCCCUGUAUAUAGUUGCACAUUGAUCUGGUAAUCCCUGUAUAUAGCUGCACAUUGAUCUGGUAAUCCCUGUAUAUAGCUGCACAUUGAUCUGGUAAUCCCUGUAUAUAGCUGCACAUUGAUCUGGUAAUCCCUGUAUAUAGCUGCACAUUGAUCUGGUAAUCCCUGUAUAUAGCUGCACAUUGAUCUGGUAAUCCCUGUAUAUAGUUGCACAUUGAUCUGCUACUGGUAAUCCCUGUAUAUAGCUGCACAUUGAUCUGGUAAUCCCUGUAUAUAGCUGCACAUUGAUCUGGUAAUCCCUGUAUAUAGUUGCACAUUGAUCUGGUACUGGUAAUCCCUGUAUAUAGUUGCACAUUGAUCUGGUAAUCCCUGUAUAUAGCUGCACAUUGAUCUGGUACUCCCUGUAUAUAGCUGCACAUUGAUCUGGUAAUCCCUGUAUAUAGUUGCACAUUGAUCUGGUAAUCCCUGUAUAUAGCUGCACAUUGAUCUGGUAAUCCCUGUAUAUAGCUGCACAUUGAUCUGGUAAUCCCUGUAUAUAGUUGCACAUUGAUCUGGUAAUUCCUGUAUAUUGUGUUAUUAUUGUGUAUUCUAUUCCUCUUGUUACAAUCCCCAUGUUUUUUUAAAUAUUUUUAAACUUUGAAUCGUUGUGAAGGCCUGUAAGCAAGAAUUACCCGUUAUAUUCGGCGCAUGUGACAAAUAAAAUUUGUUUUGAAGUGCCCAAAUAAAGUAACAGGGUUGCCCCUUAAAAUUGUUGACGUUUAAUCUUCAAUCAGACCAUUUCUAAAUAUGCAUUAAUGACCGUUUCUUUGAAGCUGUGUACGUGUUACUUGUGGAUUUUUUUUGAAAACAAAAAUUGAAAAUCAAGAUGUAUCAAUUUGUUUGUUUUUAUAAUGGCAUGUAGAUAUUGGAGUAAACCUAUUUUGGGUUAAAACAACUAACUAUGAGUAAAUGCCAACAUGAUUAGUUUGCAAUCUGAUUGAGUGGUUGAUCUGGUUGAGUGCAUUGUUUUACAACUAAAUAUUCCCUUUCCUUCAAUAAGCAACCUGGUCUCGGAGCGUUUGGUAUUAUUC